GGGUGACUCUUGAUGAUGCUAUCAAAGUCUUGUUUUCCUCAUUGUUUGGAUCAAUCUUCCAAAUACAAACUUCCCAAACAUGAAUAGUUUUGCCAAUGUUGACUGGUGUAGCCUCAGCAAAAACAAGGUCACCAAUUUGAGCACUCUUGAGAUGGUGGAUGCUGAGGUGAAUUCCAGCCACACGAGAAAAACCAGAAGCCAUGUGAGCUCCCAUACUUGCCAAAGCCUCAGAUAUCAUAGCUGAAACUCCACCGUGCAACACCUUGAACGGCUGGCAACACUUUUCUGUCACAGGUAGACGGCCAGUGAGUUUAUGGGGUGUGAUUUCUACGAACUCAAAGCUAAUCUCAUAAAGUGGAAUAUCUAAAUCUCGAGCCUUUAGCCCUGAUGGUGGCGGUUCCAUAUUCGCUGUUAUCUUGAAAUGAGGUCUUGUUCUUGGAGGUUGACCUCGGGCCAAAAGGUUUGACUCACGUUUCUAGCUUUAGCAGAAACACCAGUCCAAAUUGGAACGAACCUUUUUGUCACACUAUGAUUCCUUCAAACUUAUGCAGCAAGAGACAUCCAUGGCUCAACAAGGUCAAUUUUUGAUAAAUAGAAAAGGGAGUUCCUUUUAUGGAUUCUGAUAUGCCGAAAUGGUAAAUCUGAUCUGUUUAUUGAAAUCAAGAAUCUUGAUGAAAGUGGCAGAGAAGAAAUAGAUUGAAGAUGAAGCUGAUGAUUGGAGUUUGGACUUUGGAAUACCUGUGAGGAAGAAGAAAGGAUAAAGGGUAAAGUGCGUGGUAGGUGGAAAACAUUACCUUGGUUGGUACUAUAUUAAUGUAAGGGUAAACUUAAUGGCCGGCACUUAAUUGGCUUGUGGUUUGUUACUUCCAAUCUUCACACUACGGAAAAAUACAUAUAUUUCAUAUUUGGACCCCAGAAAUCUUAUUGAAUUUGGAAUUAGAUGCGAUAUAUUAGUAUCUCAAUAAAUACAGUAAAAGCAACAGAGUGAAACAAACUAUUUACGGUAUCCAUUAAUUAAUGAUGGAGCAUCAAACUCCAAAUUCGAUUUAACCCAUCUCGUCUUUCUUCACAAUUAGAUUGCAACAAGGAAAGAAUUACAAUUUGAAUUUUUUUAUCACGAGUUCGGACUUAUUGUUUUUUUAAUCACAGCAAGCCUAGUUAUAGUUAUCUACAGUUUUGCUUCCAAUUAAAAUAUGUUGCAAACAAACUCAAUUAAACCUGAUCAUAACUUAGCAUAUUUCUUGAGAUUGACAGCAGCAUCUUUAGCAUUUUCAGGUACAGACAUGUUGGCCUUCAGGGUGACUCUUGAUGAUGCUAUCAAAGUCUUGUUUUCUUCAUUGUUUGGAUCAAUCUUCCAAAGACAAACUUCCCAAACAUGAAUAGUUUUGCCAAUGUUGACUGGUGUAGCCUCAGCAAAAACAAGGUCACCAAUUUGACCACUCUUGAGAUGGUGUAUGCUGAGAUGAAUUCCAGCCACUGCGGCCUCAGCAAAAACAACGUCACCAAUAUGAGCACUCUUGAGAUGGUGAAUACUGAGAUGAACUCCAGCAACUCGUCCAAAACCGGAUGCCAUAUGUGCUCCCAUACUUGCCAAAGACUCAGCUAUUAGUGCUGAAACUCCACCGUGCAACACCUUAAAUGGCUGGCAACAUUUUUCUGUCACAGGUAAACGGCCAGUGAUUUUGUGGGGUGUGAUUUCUACAAACUGAAACCCAACCCCAUGAAGUGGAACAUCUAAAAUACGAGCCUUUACCCCUGAUGGUGGUGGGGGUUCCAUAUUCUCAAUUAUCUUUUCUCUCUUCAAUUUUUGAAAUGAAUUCUUGGUUUUGGAGGUUGACCUCGGACAGUAAGGUUGGGCGCACGUACCUGGCUUUGGCAAAAACACGAUGGGAGGACCUGUCCAAAUUGGAUUGAACUUUUUUCUCAAACUAUGGUUCCUUAAAAGUUAUGGCAGUAAGAUAUCCAUCUCUCAACGAGAUCAAUUUUUGAUAAAUCGAAAAGGGAGUUCCUUUCUUGGAUUCAUAUGUUCUGAAAUGAUAAAGCUGAUCUUUUUGGUGGAAAUCAAGAAUCGUAAUGAAAGUUGCAGAGAAAAGAUGAAGAUGAUGAUUGGGGUUUGGUUUGGUGUGUGAAUAGAAAAGAAUAAAAAGGUCGUGGUAGGUGGAAAACGUUUUAAAUA
rnacentral:lncRNA from 1 species